rnacentral:rRNA from 1 species
AUUGAACGCUGGCGGCAGGCCUAACACAUGCAAGUCGAACGGUAGCACAGAGGAGCUUGCUCCUUGGGUGACGAGUGGCGGACGGGUGAGUAAUGUCUGGGAAACUGCCCGAUGGAGGGGGAUAACUACUGGAAACGGUAGCUAAUACCGCAUAACGUCGCAAGACCAAAGAGGGGGACCUUCGGGCCUCUUGCCAUCGGAUGUGCCCAGAUGGGAUUAGCUAGUAGGUGGGGUAACGGCUCACCUAGGCGACGAUCCCUAGCUGGUCUGAGAGGAUGACCAGCCACACUGGAACUGAGACACGGUCCAGACUCCUACGGGAGGCAGCAGUGGGGAAUCUUCCGCAAUGGACGAAAGUCUGACGGAGCAACGCCGCGUGAGUGAAGAAGGCCUUCGGGUUGUAAAGCUCUGUUAUUCGGGAAGAACGAUUCGUUUGUAAAUAAUGAACGGAAGUGACGGUACCGAAAGAGAAAGCCACGGCUAACUACGUGCCAGCCGCCGCGGUAAAAGGG